rnacentral:rRNA from 1 species
UACAGAGGGGGCAAGCGUUAUUCGGAAUUAUUGGGCGUAAAGGGCGCGUAGGCGGCCGGACAAGUGGAAGGUGAAAUCCCCGAGCUCAACUCGGGAACUGCCCUCCAAACUGUUUGGCUUGAGUCCGGGAGAGGUGAGUGGAAUUCCCAGUGUAGCGGUGAAAUGCGUAGAUAUUGGGAGGAACCCCAGAGGCGAAGGCGGCGUCCUGGCUCGAACCUGACACUCAGACACGACAGCAUGGGGAGCGAACGGG